rnacentral:rRNA from 1 species
AUACGUAUGUCGCAAGCGUUAUCCGGAUUUAUUGGGCGUAAAGCGCGUCUAGGCGGCUUAGUAAGUCUGAUGUGAAAAUGCGGGGCUCAACCCCGUAUUGCGUUGGAAACUGCUAAACUAGAGUACUGGAGAGGUAGGCGGAACUACAAGUGUAGAGGUGAAAUUCGUAGAUAUUUGUAGGAAUGCCGAUGGGGAAGCCAUCCUACUGGACAAAUACGGACGCUAAAGCGCGAAAGCGUGGGUAGCAAACAGGAUUAGAUUCCCUGGUAGUCCACGCCGUAAACGAUGAUUACUAGGUGUUGGGGGUCGAACCUCAGCGCCCAAGCUAACGCGAUAAGUAAUCCGCCUGGGGAGUACGUACGCAAGUAUGAAACUCAAAUGAAUUGACGGGG